rnacentral:rRNA from 1 species
GACGUAGGAUGCAAGCGUUGUCCGGAAUUAUUGGGCGUAAAGAGUUCGUAGGUGGCAUAUCAAGUCUGGUGUUAAAGCCUGGGGCUCAACCCCAGAUCGGCACUGGAUACUGAUAAGCUAGAGUGCGAUAGAGGCAAGGGGAAUUCCAAGUGUAGCGGUGAAAUGCGUAGAUAUUUGGAGGAACACCAGUGGCGUAAGCGCCUUGCUGGGUCGUAACUGACGCUGAGGAACGAAAGCCAGGGGAGCAAAUGGG